UGGCUUUGACCCGUUAUUCAUCAAAUGAGAGUAGAAGCUUUGAACUUGGGCGGCAGUUACAGGGUAAUCAAAGCCCCUUCCUUGAAGACAAUUUUCUCCAUAACAAGGUUUUUUUGGUAUCAAGAGGUAAGCUAAAUCUCAAAACUUAUGGUUUCCCAACUAAUUUUGCUUGCUAUAGUGAUGUUUUAUUAAUAUGAUCUGCAAUUUAUAUGUUGUGAUUUUGUCAAUUCAAUAAUUGUUUUGAGUAAGCAGCAAGGAAUAGAACACUUAAAUUGUAAAACUACCACUAUCUUAGGAGUUUGUAUAGUGUGCAGAGGGUAAACAAUUGUAUGCUUGGACAAACUUUUAGAGGGCGGAGCCUAUAGCAAUUAGAAGAAAAAAAAUCUGGUCGAUAUUGACGUUUUGAUAAUAGAAUCAAACUUUUAGGGACUAUUUUUCGUUGUUAAUGGCCGGUUCUUUUGUAGUAACACCUAUAAGCUAGCUUAUGAGCAGAGAGGAUUGUCCAAGACCAUAAAAUUAGAGAAAUAAUCCAUCUAUGUACCAAUGUGCCACAUGCUUAGGCUGUUAAUUGGAGGUGAACAAUAUACCGUCAUGGUCCAUCACUAUAAUAGGGAUGGAUCUUGCUCGGAUACUGUGUUAAGAAAAUGUCCUUGGACCUAACUCAACUCCAAAGCUAGCUCACGGCCAUAUAAUGAAAUAGAUAAACAAUCAAACCAUAAGACACUGAGAGAACAAAUCAGUGAGGAGGGCUUUGUCCGAGUUGGUGCUCUAUGUAAGCAACAAUAUAAAUUUUUAUAGCUGGUUUCAUCCGAGGUUGAUCUCCGGUAGUGGGGAGGGGCUUAAGUGCUACACUUGGCUAAUGGCAAGGACAAUUUUUGUCCAAAAAUCAAAAUGGACAACAAAAUUAUGUUAUUUCAGUAGUUCAGAGAUAUUGUUUACCCUUCUCCCUAUACUCAGCGUUAAAACUAAUCGUCCCUCAUUUAGGUCAAGGAGUCGACAACAACAACAAAAAAAAGUAAUGAGGUUAAGAGACAUUGAUAUUAGAGAUAAGUUUCUAUCCAUCUUGAUAAAUGAGAAAGACUUGAACGUACGUGAUUUUAAAUAGAAAUCAUGAAAUACGAAGUAUUGAUUACAAAGUGAAAUGCAAAAAAGAAAAUAACGAUAGUAAUAUUCUGAAAUAUAACGGAACCACUCUGACAUACAAUUUAUUUCAUUUGAGAGAAAUAGGAUUUGCCUAUGAAUUUGUGGUGUUUGACACACCAAAUUUAAAGUUUGAUCCUCUUAGCUUUUCUUUUGUGAUAUGAUCCAUUCUUUCUAUCAUGUUUUCUGUUAGAUGAUUCUUCCAAUCUCCGGGCUUACCCUUCCUGAAAUAUGCGCUGUUAUCUAUCUGCAAAGAGGAAAUUGGCCAAUCCUUCCCAUUCUUAAUCACCUCCAAAUUGCUCAAGUUAUCAAAACUACAUAAUUUGACAAUCCUUUCUGGUAACCCUUCUCCCUCUUCGUCCCUUGAAAAUGGUUUCCCCAUGAACUCAGCCAACUUUCUCACGUAGAACAAUGUGUCUUUUGUUAAUUCUUCAUAAUUGAGAAACAAUAGUGAUUCUGGCUUGACUAAACUUUGUUUCCAGUACCCCAAAACAUGAUCCCAGUAGGGUCCCCACAUUGUUUUCCCUUCACAGAACAACUCGAACCCUUCCUCGAAGGAAAUUAACAAUUCUGUUGUUUCAUCCGAAUUUCCUUGAUGCAGCCACGUGAAUCUUUGCAUGAAAUGCCAAAGAGAAAUGAAAGUGUCCUUGGGUUCCCUGCACAAGUAAAUCAUCUUUGUACCGUCCAAGGACUGAACAGAUUUGGGUAAAGCAUCAAAUGGUAUAUGUGUGGCUAUAAGAGGAAUAUUC
rnacentral:lncRNA from 1 species